rnacentral:rRNA from 1 species
UACGUAGGGUGCGAGCGUUGUCCGGAAUUAUUGGGCGUAAAGGGCUCGUAGGCGGUCUGUCACGUCGGGAGUGAAAACUCAGGGCUUAACCCUGAGCCUGCUUCCGAUACGGGCAGACUAGAGGUAUGCAGGGGAGAACGGAAUUCCUGGUGUAGCGGUGAAAUGCGCAGAUAUCAGGAGGAACACCGGUGGCGAAGGCGGUCUCUGGGCAUUACCUGACGCUGAGGAGCGAAAGUGUGGGGAGCGAAUAGG